rnacentral:misc_RNA from 1 species
ACGGAGAGCGCAUCCAUCGCGUCCAUCACGUCCGGGAUCACGGGUGCCUUGCGGGCGAGAACGCGCAAGUCGAGCGCUCGGCCCUCCAGCAUGGCGUCGAGC